CAAAAACCUAUCUAGAGAGGAAUGUCUGAAUUAAAGGGUAUUUUAACAGAUAUUAAUGCUUUACCAAAUUGACCUUCAAAAAAGUUAUGCCAAUUUAUACUCCCAUUACCAGUGUGUGAUUAUACAUUUACUACAUAUCUUGCCAAAUCCAUAGUUUUGUAAUCCCCUUUACUUGUUGCCAAUCUAAUAGGCUGCAUAGUAUUCCAUGGUAUAUAUGUACCAUGUUUUCUUUAUCCUGUCUACCAUUGAUGGACAUUUAGGAGGAUUCCAUGUCUCCGCAAUUGUGAAUAGUGCUGCCAUAAACAUACAUGUGCAUGUGUCUUUAUAAUAGAAUGAUUCAUAUUGCUUUGGGUGUAUGACCAAUGAUAGGAUUACUGGAUCGAAUGGUAUUUCUGUUUUAGGUCUUUGAGGAAUCAUCACACUGCUUUCCACAAUGAUUGAACUAAUUUACACUUUCACCAACAGUGCAUAAGCAUUUCUUUUUUUCUGUAUACUCACCAGCAUCUGUUAUUUUUUUACUUUCUAUUAAUAGCCAUUCUGACUGGUGUAAGAUGGUAUCUCAUUGUGGUUUUGAUUUGCAUUUCCCUAAUGAUCAGUGAUGCUGAGCUUUUCUUCAUAUGAUUAUUGGCCGCAUGUGUGUCUUCUUUUAAAAAGUGUCUGCUCAUGUCCUUUGCCCACUUUUUAAAGGGUUUGGUUUUUUCUUGUAAAUUUAAGUAUCUUAUAGAUGCUGGAUAUUAGACCUUUGUCAAACACAUAAUUUGCAAGAAUUUUCUCCCCUUCUGUUGUCUGUUCACUCUGUUGACAGUACCCUUGGCUGUGCAGAAGCUCUUUAGUUUUAUUAGAUCCCAUUUGUCAAUUUUUGCUUUUAUCACAAUUGCUUUUGGCAUCUUUGUCAUGAAAUCUUUGCUCGUUCCUAUGUCCAGAACAGUGUUGCCUAGUUUGUCUUUCAGAUUUUUAUAGUUUUGGGUUUUAUGUUCAAGUCUUUGAUCCAUCUUGAGUUAAUUUUUGUAUAUGGUAUAAGGAAGAGGUCCAGUUUCAAUCUUCUGCUUAUGGCUAGCCAGUUAUUCCAACACCAUUUAUUGAAUAGGGAAUCCUUUCCCCAUUGCUUGUUUUUGUCAAGUUUAUUGAAGAUCAGAUAGUUAGCAGGCUUGAGGUCUUAUUUCUGCGCUUCCUAUUCUUUUCUAUUGGUCUGUGUUUCUGUUUUUGUAACAGUACCAUGCUGUUUUGGUUACUGUAGCCCUGUAGUAUAGUUCGAAGAUUGGUAACUUCAUGCCUCCAGUUUUGUUCUUUUUGGUUGGGAUUGCCUUGUCUAUUUGGGCUCUUUUUUGGUUCCGUAUGAAUUUUAAAAUAGUUUUUUCUAGUAUUUUUUUUUUUUUUGAGACAGUUUAACUCUGUCACCCAGGCUGGAGUGCAGUGGCACAAUUUUGGCUCACUGCAACCUCCACUUCCUGGGUUCAAGCAAUUCUCUUGCCUCAGCCUCCCAAGUAGCCGGGGCUACUGGUACAUGCUAACAUGCCUGGCUAGUUUUUUCUAGUUCUGCAAAGAAUGUCAAUGGUAAUUUAAUAGGAAUAGCAUUGAAUCUAUAAAUUGCUUUAUACAGUAUGGUCAUUUUAAGGAUAUUGACUCUUCCUAUCCAUGAGCAUGGAAUAUUUUUCUCUUUGUAUCAUCUCUGGUUUCUUUGAGCAGUGUUUUGUAGUUCUCCUUGUAGAGAUCUUUCACCUCCCUGGUUAGCUGUAUUCCUAGGUAUUUUAUGUUUUUUUGUGGCAGUUGUGAAUGGAAUUGCAUUUCUGAUUUGGCUCUCAGCUUCACUGUUGUUGGUGUAUAGGAAUGAUAGUGAUUUUGCACAUUUAUCUUGUAUCCUGAGACUUUGCUGAAGUUUUUUUUUAAUCAGCUUAAGGAGCUUUUGGGCUGAGACUAUGUGGUUUUCUAGAUAUAGGAUCAUGUCAUCUGCAAACAGGGAUAAUUUGACUUCCUCUCUUCCUAUUUGGAUGUCCUUUAUUUCCUUCUCUUGCCUGAUUGCCCUGGCCAGAACUUCCAAUACUAUGUUGAAUACAAUUGGUGAGAGAGGGCAUUCUUGUGCCAGUUUUCAAGGGGAUUGCUUCCAGCUUUUGCCCAUACAGUAUGAUGUUGGCUAUGGGUUUGUCAUAGAUGGCUCUUACUAUUUUGAGGUAUGUUCCUUCAAUACCUAAUUUAUUAAGAGUUUUAACAUGAAAUGGUGUUGAAUUUUAUUGAAAGCCUUUUCUCCACCUAUUGAGAUAAUCAUGUGGUUUUUGUCUUUGGUUCUGUUUAUGUGAUGAAUUGCAUUUAUUGAUUUGAAUAAUAUUGAACCAACCUUGCAUCCCAGGGAUAAAGCCUACUUGAUUGUA
rnacentral:lncRNA from 10 species